AAUGGUUAAAGGGACACUAUAGUCACCUGAACAACUUUAGCUUAAUGAAGCAGUUUUGGUGUAUAGAACAUGCCCCUGCAGCCUCACUGCCCAAUCCUCUGCCAUUUAGGAGUUAAAUCCCUUUGUUUAUGAACCCCAGUCACACCUCCCUGCAUGUGACUUGCACAGCCUUCCAUAAACACUUCCUGUAAAGAGAGCCCUAUUUAGGCUUUCUUUAUUGCAAGUUCUGUUUAAUUAAGAUUUUCUUAUCCCCUGCUAUGUUAAUAGCUUGCUAGACCCUGCAAGAGCCUCCUGUAUGUGAUUAAAGUUCAAUUUAGAGAUUGAGAUACAAUUAUUUAAGGUAAAUUACAUCUGUUUGAAAGUGAAACCAGUUUUUUU